rnacentral:rRNA from 1 species
AACGCGAAGAACCUUACCAGCGUUUGACAUACUCUCGCACCUGCUCGAAAGAGCAGUACCCGCAAGGGAUGGGAGCACAGGUGCUGCAUGGCUGUCGUCAGCUCGUGCCGUGAGGUGUCUGGUUAAGUCCUCUAACGAGCGCAACCCCUAUGGCUAGUUGAACCUAUCUAGUCAGACCGCCACCACAAAAUGGAGGAAGGUGGGGAUGACGUCAAGUCAGCACGGCCCUUAUAUCCUGGGCGACACACACGCUACAAUGGUCGGUACAACGAGUUGCGAACCCGCGAGGGGGAGCCAAUCUCAGCAAAACCGGUCUCAGUUCGGAUUGUAGGCUGCGACCCGCCUGCAUGAAGCUGGAGUUGCUAGUAACCGUAGGUCAGCACACUACGGUGAAUACGUUCCCGGGUCUUGUACACACCG